CAAAGUUCUUGUGUUUGAACAAGAUUUGUUUUGAGCUACAUAUAUCAUGGCUACUUGUGAAGUAUUAUUUUGCGUGUUUUAUUUAAUUCAGUGAUCUGCAGCCUAAUUAAAGUUUAACUUUUUGAAGCACGCAUUUUUAAAUAAGUAAAAUGUAAAAUACAAGUUUUCUAAAGCCAAAAUGUAGAAUUGAAGAGGGUGAUACAGUAAUACUUCAUUGCACUGUCAAUUCGAAGCACGCAAUAGAAGCUACGCCAACAAUGGUCAACAACAAUGGCGAAACCAUUGAAUACGUAAAUAAUUGUUGAAUAUAAUAAUAUUAUCUUGCCUUAAAUUCUAAUUAAUUUUCCACACAUAUAUUUCAAACCUCAUAUGGCGCGUUAAAGAUACACAAACUUAUUGGUGUCACUUAUUGUAGCAGCGUAGAACUUUCGAAGCGAUGGAAUAUGUGCUGCAAGCAAAUCCAGAACUAUGGAUGAACAUCCUGCUACAUGGAACACAAAUCAUUUACACACCAGAUAUUAAGUUUAACCUGUUGGUCAACACAAGCACGAGAAUUGGAACGACAUGGUUUAGGUGCCUUUGAAACCGUUUAUUAUCACGACGUGUGUCAACUGGGUUUUGCCAAUGAGCUAGAGGACAAAGCAGUUUCAGUAUUAUCGGCACUUGGCCGUGCCAUUAUCAGCUAAAACACAGAAAUUAAAGGGAGGACUUUUUUGAUUCAUUUUCACCUUGUAUUGAGGAAUCAUAACGUUGUUGUAUCGCUUUACCAGGACAUAAAUUCACCGAAAUUAGUUCAAUGGAAAUACUACAGCAAGUGCAUGGAUGUUAAGACUUGAACGGUGCCGUGCUAGAUUUAGAAUUCCUGAAACAUAAGAAACCCUCCUCCCAGAUGAAUCUAGUACUAGUGAAAUUAAUGAAAGAACAGAUCUUAAAAAACUCCUAAAGAAACCAAAAGAGUCCUCACAUAAUGUGCGCAGCUUACACUUCCAGCCCGCACGGGGUAUCUGACAUUUGCCACUCUUCCUCCAGCCUUUGUCCGAUAGCAAAAAUUGUUCAACUAUUCAAUUCUUUAUACAUAUGUAUAUAGUGUAGUAUGAUAAUAUAUGUAUAAAGUAAAUAUAAUAAUAAACACCUAAAUGGCAUGAUAUU